rnacentral:lncRNA from 1 species
UUGUGGUGGGACCCACCAAAGGUGAAUUCAGAAAUUUUAUAGUGAAAAGGUCCUGCCAACAAGGAAGUUUGACCAUGGUGACAGUUUUGCUUUGACUGUACCCAUCUCGACCUUUACCCGUGUGCCUCGAUUGGACUGCUUUUCCAUUUGCUCCCAAUUACUGCCACGUUUCGUUAUGUAUAAAAUUUUCUCUUUAUUAUUACUCUCUCAUCUCUCUCUUCGUAAUGUUCAUAAGUAACCCCUAUUUGGAACAGGUUAAAUCCUUCCAAACAAGGGCUAAACAAAUUGUUGAAAUGUUCGUUGUGCAUGUGACAUUGAUAUCUACUGAAUCGAUAAUUGGGUUCAUAACUGGUAUAUAAGUGUGUUUACAAUGCAUUUUAUGUACAAAAAAUUAUAGCAAAGGUCCCCAAACCUUUUAU